rnacentral:lncRNA from 1 species
CACCCACGGAGGUUCACAGAGGAGGAUGAGUUGACAUUUCCUGGGUGGGCGAGAAAGGUGCCUGCCAGGCUUCAAAGGAAUCGGGUCAGGCCUUGACCCACACGCAGAAAAAUCAUCAACGUCAGAUGGAGACAGGCUGAAAUGAUUUUCAGAGGGGAGAAGAUGAUCCAGCACAGCCAGCUCUGCUGGUAGCCUUUAAAAAUGGGGCAAAGUGACAGGCAGCAUGGGGAGGGGGCACCUGACCAUGGAAGAAAGCGAAGACAUGUUUGAAGAAGGAUCCCCAAAGAGAACACCACAGACCACUCCAGAAGUGAAAUCGCACAGCAGGUGUUUCUGUCCAGCACGGCCGUCCUAGAGCGCUCAAGACAAAGCUGGCCCCUGGCUCCGCAAGAUGGAGCGGAUGGAGACGCGCAGAGUCGACAUCCGCCACAAGAGGGCGGCCGACAUAAGCGAUUGAAAGGUCACCCUUCACAGCACACACCGGAAGAGUAAAUCUGUGUUCAACCCGGGUUAAGAUUUGUAUGACCAGGAGCUGCUGCUAGAACCAGGAAAACAAUGAUCUAAAUUAAAAUUUCUUUUCCCAAA